UGGGGAAUAUUGCACAAUGGGCGCAAGCCUGAUGCAGCCAUGCCGCGUGUAUGAAGAAGGCCUUCGGGUUGUAAAGUACUUUCAGCGAGGAGGAAGGCGUUGUGGUUAAUAACCGCAACGAUUGACGUUACUCGCAGAAGAAGCACCGGCUAACUCCGUGCCAGCAGCCGCGGUAAUACGGAGGGUGCAAGCGUUAAUCGGAAUUACUGGGCGUAAAGCGCACGCAGGCGGUCUGUCAAGUCGGAUGUGAAAUCCCCGGGCUCAACCUGGGAACUGCAUCCGAAACUGGCAGGCUAGAGUCUUGUAGAGGGGGGUAGAAUUCCAGGUGUAGCGGUGAAAUGCGGAGAGAUCUGGAGGAAUACCGGUGGCGAAGGCGGCCCCCUGGACAAAGACUGACGCUCAGGUGCGAAAGCGUGGGGAGCAAACA
rnacentral:rRNA from 1 species